CGAGAGGGCGCGGGAGGCGGUGCUAGGGCCGGCAGCCCUAGCUUAGCCCGGCCCAGCCCUACCCUAUUGGGGGCAGGGAGAGUCUUCCCCCCUAGAGAGAAGGCUAAAGAAGAUGAAUUCCCCACCCACUCUUUCCGGACCUUUCUUUCCCACUCCCUCCCCACGAAACAAACCAGAGCCCAGAAAGAAGCAUGAUUUCACCGGGCGCUUUAAAUGUAGAAAGUGUCUGAAAUCCACACCCCCGUCCCCUUACACAUCCCGGGUUCCUCCAGAUGCUGUAUCCCACAGCUUCCUCCCCGCCCCCAAACAAGUUCUUACUGGGCGGCUCUCUGGCGCCGUCUCCGAAAUGAGCUCACUGCACCUCGAGGGACCUCGACUCCUUAUAACGACUUGGGAGUGA
rnacentral:lncRNA from 1 species